UACGUAGGGACCAAGCGUUGUUCGGAUUUACUGGGCAUAAAGGGCGCGUAGGCGGCAAUUUCAAGUCAUCUGUGAAAUCUCCGAGCUUAACUCGGAACGGUCAGAUGAUACUGCUUUGCUAGAGUGCAGAAGGGGCAACCGGAAUUCUUGGUGUAGCGGUGAAAUGCGUAGAUAUCAAGAGGAACACCGGAGGUGAAGACGGGUUGCUGGGCUGACACGUGACGCUGAGGCGCGAAAGCUAGGGUAGCAAACGGG
rnacentral:rRNA from 1 species